rnacentral:rRNA from 1 species
CACGUAGUUAGCCGGGGCUUCUUAGUCAGGUACCGUCAUUUUUUCUUCCCUGCUGAUAGAGCUUUACAUACCGAAAUACUUCUUCACUCACGCGGCGUCGCUGGAUCAGGGUUUCCCCCAUUGUCCAAUAUUCCCCACUGCUGCCUCUCGUAGGAGUUUGAGCCGUGUCUCAGUCCCAAUGUGGCCGUCCACCCUCUCAGGCCGGCUACUGAUCGUCGCCUUGGUGGGCCGUUACCCCACCAACCAGCUAAUCAGACGCGGGUCCAUCAUAUACCACCGUAGUUUUUCACACUGUCUCAUGCAAUACUGUGCGCUUAUGCGGUAUUAGCACCUAUUUCUAAGUGUUAUCCCCCUGUAUAUGGCAGGUUACCCACGCGCUACUCACCCGUCCGCCACUAAGUCAUCAACAUUUCCACUCUUAGCAAGCUAAUUGCUUCAAAAAUGAUGACUCCGUUCGACUUGCAUGUGUUAAGCACGCCGCCAGCGUUCAU